rnacentral:rRNA from 1 species
AGCUCCAAUAGCGUAUAUUAAAGUUGCUGCAGUUAAAAAGCUCGUAGUUGGAUUUGUGGGAUGGCCGUCCGGCGGGGGGCCUUUCAUGGUCCCGUUUGUCCUGGUUUUCGGCCUUCCCUUUCUCGGGUCUAGCGUAUUGGCUGGCAUUAGGUUGUCGGCCGCUUCGCGCCCGUCGUUUACUGUGAAAAAAUUAGAGUGUUCAAAGCAGGCGUUUGCCGUGAAUACAUUAGCAUGGAAUAAUAGAAUAGGACCUGGUCUCUAUUUUGUUGGUUUGUUAGAAUCGGGUAAUGAUUAAGAGGGAUGGUUGGGGGCAUUUGUAUUCCAGCGUCAGAGGUGAAAUUCUUGGAUUGUUGGAAGACAAACAGCUGCGAAAGCGUCUGCCAAGGACAUUUUCAUUGAU